AACAGCCACAUGAGUGAGCUUGGAAGUGGGCUCGCUAGCCACAGCAGUCUUGAGAGGUAACUGUAGCCCAAGCCAGCAGCUUGAUGACCUAACGAGAGACCUGAGCCAGAGAUGCUCUUCUAAGCUGAGCUCAGAGUCGUGACCAACAGAAGCCAUGAGAUGAUGAGUUGCUACUCUUCACUCCUGAGUUUGGGAGUAAUUUACGAAGCAGCGAUAAUACGAAGUACAAAUAUUAGCUAUUAGGAGGUACAGAAGACAAUAAUCAUAACAGAUGCUGUGGGGCACCAUCCAGAUUCUCCCCCUUUCAUAAACAGUUCACCUCUGGGUCCAACUUGACCCCGGCCCAAGCCCACUUCACGGACGACUCUCCAGGUUUUGAUUCUCAGCGAUCAAGUCCGUUCCUAAGGAGCCUGAUCGGACAGAGUUGGUGCCAGGAUUGACUGAGGGAAGCAGAGCCUAAACUGGGACUUGGGACCCUCGCUGGGGAGCCGGUGCUGAAGACCCCAUCACCAGGGAUGACCGCGUGGACUGGAGACUCUCAUGACCCAAGCUCCGUAUCGUGAAGUUGCACGACCCAGCCGCCACGUACGGAUAGGAGCUGCGCCAGGCUUCUGGGCUGGGGUCAAGGGCUGCAGCGUACUAGAAGGUUGGACUAGACUCCCCAACAGCAAUUGGGGAUGAUGGGAUCCUUAGGUUACAGAGGCCAGAUGGCAGCAAACAUCAGAAGGAGAUCAGCUGGCUUGCGGGAUGUAAGCUGGGAAUAGACAUUGCCUGCGCUAUGGACGGUCCUACUCUGGGCGAUCCCGAAAAACAGCAGCGAAGGAAAUUCCCAGUAAGCAGAGCUUUGGCAACGGACCUGGGCAUUCACUCCGUAUGGCAAGAAAAAUAGCCCAAGGUAAGAAUAUACCAGAGACAUGGAUAGCUGCAAAUGGCUUGACUGGUUGGCCAUGGGCUUGAGAGAAGAAGUUUGAAAGAUCAGUGACAAAGAGGCAUGGUAAUGAGAUGGGGGGGCAGGCCUGUGGGAAGGGGCAUGAGAUGUGAAAAUCUUCAUGUUACACAUUAACGCCCAUCACUGGGCUUCCUCCAUGGUUGAUGCAUUUACACGACUAAGUAGACCCAAUACCAGGCCAGUGAACAUAAACCAGACCCUGACAUUGGUCAGCCCAGUCCUCACUCAACAGGUGCAUGAAUGGAGACCCACGGGAGUACCUAAUGAAAGCUAUAAGUGGGCCAGCUAGCAAGGGCUCCCACUCCCAAGAUUCAUCCUGCUGCUAUCAACAAAUCUCUCAGAGACUAAUGCCAUGCCCCUAACAUGGCAUCACCAUCCCUCAAAAGGAUCAGUCAGCCACUUGAUGACAAGUUGAUUAGAUUGGAUGCCUUCCAAUUGAUGAAGCAACAAUUAAUCAUGACUGGAAUCAACACAUAUUCCGAGAAUGGGUUUGCCCUUCCUGCCACAGGGCCGUGAUGGUUACUUCUGUGUGCCAACUUGGCUAGGUUAGAGUGCCCUUAUUCAGCCAAAUGCUAAUCUAGGUGUUGCUAUGAUGCGAUUUAACAUCCACAGUCAGUUAAUUUUAAGUAAAGAAGAUCAUCCUGGCUAAUGUGGUGGGCCCCAUCUCAUCAGUUGAAAGGCCUUAAGAUCAACACCGAGGUUUCCCUGAAGAAGAAGAAAUUCCGUGCUUGCUCCUGCCUUCAAGCUUCAGCCUGUGGGCCUGCCUGCUGAACUUUGGAUUCAUCUGGCUGGUCCCUGCAAUUGUGCAAGCCGAUUUGUUGUGGUAAAUCUCCGGAUAGAUGAUCCAAAUGGAUAUGAAGAUAAAGGCGCAGCUAGAAAGGGAGAUACCUCCUCCUGUCUUCCUGUCUCCUCCAGUAAAGCCCUAAGACGGGGCCUGUGCCAACAUCACUAUCUGAGGGCUUAUUUAACAAAAAAAAAAAAAAAAAAAAGAGAGAGAGAGAGAGGGGGGUACCUGGGUGGCUCAGUCAGUUAGGCAUUCAGCUUGGGUAAUGAUCCUGGGGUCCUGGGAUUGAGCCCCG